rnacentral:tRNA from 3 species
GGUGUCGAGCACGUGGAGUGCGCGCGGUCUGUAACACCGCUGCCUUCGGGCGUUGGGAGUUCGAUUCUCUCCGGCACCA